GUACGGGGUCCAAGACGCCAGGAGAGCUGCCCCCUGGGACAAGAGCUGCAGACUAGCAGGGAAGCGACAGCUUAUCAGCCCAGGAUCUCCAGCUACCCUCAGUGAGAAGACACAAAACACAGUGAGAAAGGCAGAGUGAGAGAUUCCUCCCUGCACUGGCACAAUGCGCACUCUCACCAUCCUCACCCUCCUGGCUGUCUUGGUGAUGGCUGCUGCCUCCUAU